UCGAGUACAACACGGACCAUUGAUCAUG
rnacentral:sRNA from 1 species